rnacentral:rRNA from 1 species
CAAUAGCGUAUAUUAAAGUUGUUGCAGUUAAAAAGCUCGUAGUUGGAUUUGUGGUUCGUCCCGCCGGCUGGGUCAUUGACUUUUGCUGUGCUGGUCGUCCAUCCUUGGGUGGAAUCUGUGUGGCAUUAGGUUGUCGCGCAGGGGAUGCCCAUCGUUUACUGUGAAAAAAUUAGAGUGUUCAAAGCAGGCUUAUGCCGUUGAAUAUAUUAGCAUGGAAUAAUGAUAUAGGACCUUGGUACUAUUUUGUUGGUUUGCGCACUGAGGUAAUGAUUAAUAGGGACAGUUGGGGGUAUUCGUAUUCCAUUGUAAGAGGUGAAAUUCUUGGAUUUUUGGAAGACGAACUACUGCGAAAGCAUUUACCAAGGAUGUUUNCAUUA